GCAAACAACAGUAUUUUGAAAUCACAAUGCAUUUGUGUUGCCGAAACAUGGCUUCGACCAAACUUCCCAACUGAUCAUGUACUUUUACCUAACUUCACGUUCUACAACAACACACGUUUCAAUUGUUACAGUCCAAUAAAUAGUAUCACCAAUACUUUAAAACUUCAGGCCAAUGGUGGUGUUGGAAUAUAUUGUCAAACAGAUCAGAACAUCGAAGUCAACACACCAUGUAAUACAAAUCUAGAAUCAUUAGUCUUCCACGUUCCACAAUUUCAAUUAAUUGCUGCAGUUGUAUACAGGCCCCAAACAUACCAAGUUGAUUUAUUCAAAGAACAUUUAUUACAUCUUAUUGCCGAAAUAGACACUUUCCCAGGAGCGAAAAUUAUUUUGGGGGACUUUAAUGAAAAUCUUCUUACUUCUAAAACAAUACAAACCGUUUUCGAACAACAUCAUUACAUUCAAUUAGUUGACUUUUCGACCACUGAUGCUAACACAAUAAUAGACCAUGUAUACACAAAAGAUGUCCAAUUUCAAUUAUCGCUUGAAUUGUUAUCAACAUAUUACAGUCAUCAUAAUGCUAUACUAAUUCACAUAAAGUAACAUUAUCUGCUAAACAAUGCAUCUUAAAACAAAAGUCAUAGCUUAAGCAAACCAUCGUAGACACAUUAACUAAUAUAUUUUAAAACACACUAUUUGUACAGCAGAUGAAAUAUAAAUUAUAUUAUAUUUACACACUUAUGAAUAAUACAUUUACAUAUCUUCUUCGUUAAUUUAUGAAAAAACACAACAAGGACUUAUUACGUAACAUUAAAAUGUGAACUUCACAAUUGAAAUGGUCAAAAUAUUCUGUUAACAUGUAACAGGUAACUUAUGCUUUGCAAAUUUGUAUUUUAUGACAUUAUGUAUUGUACAAUGCUAUGAUACUUUUUUGGGAUAGAAUUACUAGAUGUUAAAGUGCUUUAACAACAUGCUUUGUACUCGUGUUGAUAUUGCAAUAUCAUUCUGCAAUUUUUUCUCCCAGCCCUCUGGCAGCACCCACACACACACACACCCACACGCACACACACACACACACACACACCCACACACACAUACACACACACGCACAGACGCACAUACACACACAGUGUUGUGCAAUACUUUUCUCAUCAGCACACUAAUCCUUGUGCUUUAAAAUGUUGGACUACAUUCAACCACCCAACAUCUGAAAACUCAAGUACCACAUCAGGUAAUGUAAAGGACACAUUUCAUGUGUUUUACUGUAGUAAAGCUUACAUUGUACUAACCACACUCAUACAAUUUUCAUGUUUUGCUUUUCAGCAAGCACCUCAAACCUUCAACCAUGUGGACCUAUCACUGCUUCCAUCAUUCAUCAACCUGGGUUUGGCUAGACUAAAGCAACUUCAAUUGCAAGGAGUCUUGUCCAGAUACCAAAAACAGCAUUGAAAUCUUCUUGCUGAAUCCUUAUGCUUUGAAAUGGUGGAUUUCAUUAAACCAGCCAACAAAUGAAAACUCUCCCACCACCAAUACUACAUCAACAAGCACCUCAUCCUUUAAACCAUGUGAACCUAUCACUGCCUCCAUCAUUCAUCAAUCUUGGUUUGGCAAGACUAAAACAACUUCAAUUACAAAGAGCCUUGUCCAGAUACCAAAAACAGCAUUGAAAUCUUCUUGCUGAAUCCUUAUGCUUUGAAAUGGUGGAUUUCAUUAAACCAGCCAACAAAUGAAAACUCUCCCACCACCAAUACUACAUCAACAAGCACCUCAUCCUUUAAACCAUGUGAACCUAUCACUGCCUCCAUCAUUCAUCAAUCUUGGUUUGGCAAGACUAAAACAACUUCAAUUACAAAGAGCCUUGUCCAGAUAUCAAACCCAGCAUUAGGAUCUUGCUGAAUCCUUCUGCUUUGAAAUGUUGGAUUUCAUUCAACCAGCCAACAACUGAAAACUUUCCCACCAUCACUACUACAUCAGCAACCCACUCCAGGCCUUCACACCUUGUGGGAGUACCAAUGGUUGCAUCAUUCAGCAAUUUCAGUCUGGCAACACUAAAACAACUGCACCAAAAAGAACCGUGUCCAGAUUUCAAACCAAGCAUUGAGAUCUUCUCGCUGAAUACCCUGAGAAACUAUUAGUACUAUGUUGACUAAAAUGCCUUCUGGACCCUGGUUGAUAUUACCCUACUCAUUCCUACCUUGUGGCUAACCACAAUGCUCAAACAUGUGAAGCAUAACUCAAUGACGACUCUGGACCACUGGAUACAACAUCAACAACUGGAUGGAAAGAUAUCAAAGAAGUCUGUGGCUGCCUGGAAUUUCACAAGGAUGUUGAUGGACCAUGUGUUUUAAUACCACCCUACAGAAACACCCUUCUAAUCCAUGGAAAUCCAAAGGUCACUUUUACACCUGUCCACCCUCAAUUGCUUUAGACUCAACUCAUGAGAAUUGUAUUGCACUCAAUAUUGUAAAUUACACCAAUACAACAUACAUCACAUUUGGUAUUAUAUUGUGUCAGUAAACAAUAUGAACAGAAAACACAUUUCACAAAUCUAACACUGCUACCACUAACACCUUUCACAAUCAUUUCCAUUUUUACCAUUUUUUUUCUUUUUUACAUUUCAUUAUAAUACAUGUAUUAAAUCUGCAGACAUUGUACUAUCAUUUCACAGUUAUUUCAGUUGAAUUAUUUGUAUAUUUCUUUAUAAUACAUGUGUUACCUGCAUUUGUAUAUACAAAUAGUUACUUUAUCUAUAUACACAAAAAGCUACUUAACAAAAAAUGCCAUAUGUAAUGUUUUUUAUCUUUUAACAUUGAUACAAGUUUU